rnacentral:misc_RNA from 1 species
UUACAAAGCUCUCAAGCCCACAAGAUACUCCUAUGCUGAUCUAAAGAGGAUUACAAACCAAUUUAAGGACAAGUUGGGCCAGGGAGCAUAUGGCACAGUGUUCAAGGGAAAGCUUUCUACUGAGAUUCUGGUGGCUGUGAAGAUCCUCAACAGUUCGAUGGGGAAUGGAGAAGAGUUUAUUAAUGAAGUGGGAACAAUGGGAAGAAUCCACCAUGUUAAUGUUGUUCGCUUGGUUGGAUUCUGUGCUGAUGGAUUCAGAAGAGCUUUGGUUUAUGAGUUCUUACCAAAUGAAUCGCUAGAGAAAUUCAUAUUUUCGGAUGAUGGUAACAACCGUUCCCUUGGCUGGGAGAAGCUGCAAGAUAUUGCUGUUGGGGUUGCCAAGGGGAUUGAAUAUCUUCACCAGGGGUGUGAUCAGCGAAUUCUCCAUUUCGAUAUCAAACCUCAUAAUAUUUUGUUAGAUGACAACUUCAAUCCAAAAAUUUCUGAUUUUGGCUUGGCAAAGCUAUGUUCCAAGGAUCAAAGUGCUGUAUCAAUGACUGCAGCAAGGGGGACUAUGGGCUAUAUUGCACCUGAAGUGUUCUCUAGAAAUUUUGGGAAUGUGUCCUAUAAGUCAGACGUUUAUAGCUUUGGAAUGCUGCUGCUAGAAAUGGUUGGAGGAAGGAAAACUACUCAUGUAACAGAGGGAAAUGAUGAGGAAAUAUACUUUCCAGAAUGGAUUUACAAUCUUUUGGAAAAAGGGGAAGACCUUAGGUUUGAGAUUGAGGAAGAGGGAGAUGAUAAAAUUGCAAAGAAACUUGCAAUUGUGGGACUCCAAUGCAUUCAAUGGAACCCAGCGGAUCGCCCCUCCAUGAAUGUAGUUGUUCAUAUGCUGGAAGGGGAAGAAAAUCUACCCAUACCGCCUAAUCCUUUUUCUGCAGUUCCUACAAGAAUGAACUCAAGAAUACCGGGAAGACGGCCUCAGCAAGAAUUAGACGUCAUCUCAGAAAGAGAGUAAUAAUCAGAUGUGGAGGAGAUCUAUAAUCUAUUGUAAUUAAUAUUUGAAUUAGUAGUUAGUUUCUUUAUCUACAUAUGUAUUGUAACAGAUGACAAGUAUGGUUUUUGUUUGGUUUGUGUGAUUUUAUGAAAUUUAUGUUUCAGAAAUUUACAGAAUAUUCAUAAUUUGAUUGGUCCAAAACAUCUUUCUAGCUCUUGAGCUUUGUAAAAAAAGUCACAUGGCACCCUCAGUUUUAAUUGUAUCAUAUUUGAUAUCUCAACUUUAUGAAAGUGAAACUAUAAAUUCCUGGAUUUUAUAAAAG